AUAAUGACUCUCGGCAACGGAUAUCUAGGCUCUUGCAUCGAUGAAGAACGUAGCGAAAUGCGAUACUUGGUGAGAAUUGCAGAAUCCCGUGAACCAUCGAGUCUUUGAACGCAAGUUGCGCCCGAAGCCAUCAGGUUGAGGGCACGUCUGCCUGGGCGUCACAU
rnacentral:rRNA from 1 species